GUCCCAGUUCGGACUGUAGUCUGCAACCCGACUACACGAAGCUGGAAUCGCUAGUAAUCGCGAAUCAGAAUGUCGCGGUGAAUACGUUCCCGGGUCUUGUACACACCGCCCGUCACACCAUGGGAGUCGGGAAUGCCCGAAGUCAGUGACCCAACCAUAUGGAGGGAGCUGCCGAAGGCAGGUCUGAUAACUGGGGUGAAGUCGUAACAAGGUAAC
rnacentral:rRNA from 1 species